UGGCCACAUGGUCCCAAAUUCCCAAUAACGCAAAACAAAUAUUCAUUUGAGAGUUGAAGAAUCCAGCGUCAACGCUAUAAAUCUGACAACAUAAAGAGUCCCGUAAUCAUAAUUCCUUUGCGCAAAACUCACACACGCUUUCAUCAAAAUAGUCGUCUGUUCCUCGACCAAAUUGCUCUGUUUUUUCCAUAAAUUUUUUAUUCUUCACUCCUUUAAUCGAAAGAGUAGAAUCUGGUGAUCGAAAAUGGGGUGUUGCAGUAGCAAGGCGGCAGAUACUAAAGCCACCCGAAUGGCUCGAUGGCGUUCUACUGGCAUCGUUGCUUUACGCGACUCCAAAUUGAAGUCUUUUCCAGAUGAAGUUAUUAGCCUGGAGAGAUCUGUACGCACCCUCGACUUGACACACAAUAAAUUGGUUCAUAUUCCCAUGGAGAUCAACAAGUUAAUUAACUUACAGCGUCUAAUUUUGGCUGAUAACCUUAUUGAGCAUAUGCCCGUGAACCUGGGAUUGCUUCAGUCUUUGAAAGUUGCAACACUUGAUGGGAAUCAAAUUACAACCUUGCCUGAUGAAUUGGGCCAGUUAGUGAAGCUUGAGCGUUUAUCUGUCUCAGCAAACUUGUUAACGAGCUUGCCUGACACCAUUGGGAGCUUGCGGAAUUUGGUGCUGUUGGAUGUUUCAAACAAUAAGUUAAAGUUUCUUCCUGAAUCUAUUGGAAGUUGCUUCUCUUUGGAAGAAUUGCAAGCUAAUGAUAAUUCUAUUGAAGAGCUUCCUGCUUCUGUUUGCAAUCUUGUUCAACUAAAGUCACUCUGCCUGAACAAUAACAAUCUCAAUCAGAUGCCUCUAAAUUUGUUAAGAGAAUGCAAGAGCUUGCAGAAUAUAGCACUGCACAGAAAUCCCAUUUCCAUGGACCAAUUUCAACAGAUGGAAGGCUUCAAGGAAUUUGAAGCCCGCCGUAAACAGAAGUUUGAUAAACAAAUUGAUUCAAAUGUGAUAAUCAGUUCUAAAGGGCUUGAUGAGGGUGUUGACUUGUGAUUCCUCUCCACAGGCAGUUUACGACUACAUGCAUGUCUUCAAUACUUUCUCUUACCUCCCAGCCUGGUGUGCCUGGAAAGUUGCCUCUUCUCAUUCACGUCCCAGGCUUAUAUCUUGUACUAUUUGCCAUUAUAUCUGUACCACUAAGUGUGUAUAUUUUUGGGAAUAUAUUAGUGACUUCAAACAAAAGAUGGAGAAUGGUUAACUUUGCGGCUUGAGGUUGGAUGGCAUUGUGACAGCUUUGACUUUGAUGAAAGGCGAUUGCUUGUGCCGCUUUACAUGAGUCAUUGUCAAGCCCUUCUAUAGUUUAUCAUGGAUUGUCAGCUUUGACUUGUGCGUAAUUGUAUCUAUACUUGAGUUACACUAAUUGUAAAUGAUAUGCAGACCUAACGAUUUCCUUUACCUUUUUGAUAAUUUUAUACAUAUUCAGUGAGCUGUAUAUCAUCAUUCAAAACCAAUGAUUAAAAACCUUAGUAAA